UUUUUCUCCUUCUGCUUCCUGACAUGUGAUGACUACAUCUGCAAGCGUCGGAGUCGGACAUCCUAAGCCUGAGCCCAGACUUUGCCACUUGCCAGCGUGUUGGAGCUAGAUUAACCUUCUUUAACCCUCAGCUCUCUCAUCGAGCUGGAGAAUGGCCUCAGGUUGGAGGUGGAAAAGACUGGAAUGUGGUUUUAUGCCAGGCUGUGAGCUAUACAAGCCACUUCACCAGAAAACCAUUUCCAAGCCACAUACCACUAGUAAUUAAUGCUGUAGUCGUGACACUUCCGUAAGUGGGUUACAGAUUGUUGCUGUGGUGUGUACAAAGCUUAUUGGAUAAAUGUCUUUAGGAAAGGGGAAGGCAUUAGUCUCUUGGUGAUCAAUAGGAUAAUAAAUUGUGUUUUGUUUCUGUACCUGGAUUUAAUGUUUACCUUUCAAAUAAACGCUAGCUUGCUCAUUGCU